AUUGAACGCUGGCGGCAGGCCUAACACAUGCAAGUCGAGCGAGCGGCGGACGGGCGAGUAAUGUAUGGGGACUGCCCGAUAGAGGGGGAUAACUACUGGAAACGGUGGCUAAUACCGCAUACUAUCGGAUAACCCAUAUGGGAUUAGCUAGUAGGUGGGGUAAAGGUUGAACAAGGCGACGAACUCUAGCUGGUCAGAGAGGAUGAUCGGCCAAACGGUGAGUGAGACACGGCCCAGACUCCUAGGGAGGCAGCAGUGGGGAAUAUUGCACAAUGGGGGCAAGCCUGAUGAAGCCAUGCCGAGUGUAUGAAGAAGGCCUUAGGGUUGUAAAGUACUUUGAGCGGGGAGGCGUUACCCACAGAAGAAGCACCGGCUAACUCCGUGCCAGCAGCCGCGGUAAUAC
rnacentral:rRNA from 1 species